rnacentral:rRNA from 1 species
UACGUAGGGUGCAAGCGUUGUCCGGAAUUAUUGGGCGUAAAGAGCUCGUAGGCGGUCUGUUGCGUCGGCUGUGAAAACCCGAGGCUCAACCUCGGGCCUGCAGCCGAUACGGGCAGACUAGAGUUCGGCAGGGGAGACUGGAAUUCCUGGUGUAGCGGUGAAAUGCGCAGAUAUCAGGAGGAACACCGAGUGGCGAAGGCAGGUCUCUGGGCCACUACUGACGCU